rnacentral:rRNA from 1 species
UACGGAGGGGGCUAGCGUUGUUCGGAAUUACUGGGCGUAAAGCGCACGUAGGCGGCUUUGUAAGUUAGAGGUGAAAGCCCGGGGCUCAACUCCGGAAUUGCCUUUAAGACUGCAUCGCUAGAAUUGUGGAGAGGUAAGUGGAAUUCCGAGUGUAGAGGUGAAAUUCGUAGAUAUUCGGAAGAACACCAGUGGCGAAGGCGACUUACUGGACACAUAUUGACGCUGAGGUGCGAAAGCGUGUGGAGCAAACAGG